rfam:Clostridiales bacterium CHKCI001 isolate CHKC1 genome assembly, contig: {contig8}
AAUUAUCUUCAGGGCAGGGUGUAAUUCCCUACCGGUGGUACAGCCCACGAGCCGCAAGGCAUGAUUCGGUGUAAUUCCGAAGCCGACAGUAUAGUCUGGAUGAAAGAAGAUGGAU